GUUCUUGGCAUGGAUCUGCCAGGUGUGGUGUUCCUGGAGUGGAGUUACCAGAUGUGGUGUUUCUGGCGUGGUGUUCCUGGCAUGGAGUUCCCAGGCAUGGCACUCCCAGCCAUGGCACCCCUGGCACGGUGCUCCCAGCUGGCACGUGUCCUUCAGGAUCCAGGCUGCACACAGGCGAGAGGCCCAGCUCUUCCUAGAUGCCCGUCAGAUGCCCCCUAUCUUCCCUGUCCUGGGGACGUGGCAUCCCACCGCCCCCCUUUCCCCCUGAUGUUCACACGCCAAUGUCGCUUUGGUUUUCCUGCAGUUUGCUCCUUGGUGGGAGUGGCCUCGUUUGUUUCUCGUUGUGGAGCAGCCCAAAAUGUUCAAACGAUCCAAAAAUUCCAAAAAGCAUCGGCCCUACAUGUACUUUUCUCUCCUGGUCCCUUGGGGCGGGGUCUCUGCGCUCCUGUUGUGGUUGACAAACCCAUCCAGAUGCUGGACUCCUCCCUUGAAGUGCAGAGUCUGUGGAAGGCCACCAGCAGUUCUGGGGCCCGCCCUCGGGGGCUCGGUGCAGCCCUGGAUCACAGACUGGGCACACAAGCCUGUGGGUGUGGCCACAGCACAGAGGCUUUUCAGCCUCUUAUGGGGUCUCUUGGAGGUAAGCAGCCCCCACCCCUUCAGCUGGAAGGGGGUGUCAAGCCUGCCAUGGCUCCUCCCUUUUGGGAAAAGGUGCCCAAAUGGAUCCCCAGACUCAGGACACGGACCCCUCCCCAUGAACCUCACCUGGACCCGGCAGAUUGGGUGGGUGCCCCCAGGCCUUGCACCCAGGUGGUCUCCCAGAGCCCCAGCACAUGGGAGGUGUCUUCCUGA
rnacentral:lncRNA from 9 species